rnacentral:rRNA from 1 species
CAUGCAGUCGAGGGGCAGCGGGAUUGAAGCUUGCUUCAAUUGCCGGCGACCGGCGCACGGGUGAGUAACGCGUAUCCAACCUUCCGUACACUCAGGGAUAGCCUUUCGAAAGAAAGAUUAAUACCUGAUGGUAUCUUAAGCACACAUGUAAUUAAGAUUAAAGAUUCAUCGGUGUACGAUGGGGAUGCGUUCCAUUAGGUAGUAGGCGGGGUAACGGCCCACCUAGCCUACGAUGGAUAGGGGUUCUGAGAGGAAGGUCCCCCACAUUGGAACUGAGACACGGUCCAAACUCCUACGGGAGGCAGCAGUGAGGAAUAUUGGUCAAUGGACGAGAGUCUGAACCAGCCAAGUAGCGUGAAGGAUGAAGGUCCUACGGAUUGUAAACUUCUUUUAUAAGGGAAUAAACCCUCCCACGUGUGGGAGCUUGUAUGUACCUUAUGAAUAAGCAUCGGCUAACUCCGUGCCAGCAGCCGCGGUAAUACGGAGGAUGCGAGCGUUAUCCGGAUUUAUUGGGUUUAAAGGGAGCGCAGACGGGUCGUUAAGUCAGCUGUGAAAGUUUGGGGCUCAACCUUAAAAUUGCAGUUGAUACUGGCGUCCUUGAGUGCGGUUGAGGUGUGCGGAAUUCGUGGUGUAGCGGUGAAAUGCUUAGAUAUCACGAAGAACUCCGAUUGCGAAGGCAGCACACUAAGCCGUAACUGACGUUCAUGCUCGAAAGUGUGGGUAUCAAACAGGAUUAGAUACCCUGGUAGUCCACACGGUAAACGAUGGAUACUCGCUGUUGGCGAUAUACUGUCAGCGGCUUAGCGAAAGCGUUAAGUAUCCCACCUGGGGAGUACGCCGGCAACGGUGAAACUCAAAGGAAUUGACGGGGGCCCGCACAAGCGGAGGAACAUGUGGUUUAAUUCGAUGAUACGCGAGGAACCUUACCCGGGCUUAAAUUGCAAAGGAAUGAUCUGGAAACAGGU